UACAGAGGGGGCAAGCGUUGUUCGGAAUUACUGGGCGUAAAGGCGCGUAGGCGGCCUGCUAAGUCGAACGUGAAAUCCCUGGGCUCAACCCAGGAACUGCGUCCGAUACUGGUUGGCUUGAAUCCGGGAGAGGGAUGCGGAAUUCCAGGUGUAGCGGUGAAAUGCGUAGAUAUCUGGAGGAACACCGGUGGCGAAGGCGGCAUCCUGGACCGGCAUUGACGCUGAGGCGCGAAAGCCAGGGGAGCCAAACGGG
rnacentral:rRNA from 1 species